GGGCUCAUUUUUAGGCCUGCUUGCUUCAGCCUGGCGAAAACUUGUUUGAGAUUCUGAACUUCUUCUUCAAAGUUCUUGCCAAAGACGAUUAUAUCGUCUGAAUAAACGAGGCAUAUUUUGCUAGUGAGCCCAUGGAGAACAGCCUUCAUCAUUCGUUCAAAGAGGAUCCAUUUCGACCUGCCAGUAUCCACUCUGAAGAUCUAUGAUGCUGAACCAAUUUGCACUAGCUAUCAGGUCGAGUGUCUCGUCGAUUCUGGGUAGAGGGACGAUUGGUGAGGCCCAGGGACUAGACGAUGGUUCGAUCACGUCAUUCGUUAGCAUGUUUUCCACAAGCUUCUUCGCCUCUUCCCGAGCGUUGAGAGCGAGUCUUCGAGGAGCCUGUUUUAUCGGUGAAUUCUCUCCAACGUCGAUCUUGUGCUUGACGGAAGUACAUCGGCCCUCAUCACCACUAUCUUUGGCGAAAGAAUCUAUAAACUCUAGCAAAAGAGAUUUAGACGAUUCCAACUGAGCUAGAUUUAAUGAAAUCGAAGAUUUAUCAACAAGGCCCUGUAAA